rnacentral:rRNA from 1 species
GACGAACGCUGGCGGCGUGCUUAACACAUGCAAGUCGAACGGAAAGGCCCUGCUUUUGUUGGGUGCUCGAGUGGCGAACGCGUGAGUAACACGUGAGUAACCUGCCCUUGACUUUGGGAUAACUUCAGGAAACUCGGGCUAAUACCGGAUAGAAGCUCCUGCUGCAUGGUGGGGGUUGGAAAGUUUCGGCGGUAGGGGAUGGACUCGCGGCUUAUCAGCUUGUUGGUGGGGUAGUGGCUUACCAAGGCUUUGACGGGUAGCCGGCCUGAGAGGGUGACCGGCCACAUUGGGACUGAGAGACGGCCCAGACUGCUACGGGAGGCAGCAGUGGGGAAUAUUGCACAAUGGGCGGAAGCCUGAUGCAGCAACGCCGCGUGCGGGAUGACGGCCUUCGGGUUGUAAACCGCUUUCGCCUGUGACGAAGCGUGAGUGACGGUAAUGGGUAAAGAAGCACCGGCUAACUACGUG